GGGGGUGAAAGGUUUCGACUUAGGUGGGAGGGUGGGAGUGGCAUGCCGCGGACGCAGGGUUGGCCGCGAUAACAAUCCUUGCAAAAAUCAAACGCUAACGAGAACGCUCGUUUAUUAGCAGAGGCGAAUAGGAUUGCUGCUCCGGUUUUUGCCGGGCCGGUGCCUGUUCUUCCUGCUAUGGCGCCAGUCUUCGUUCACUAAUCUGAACGAAGCCGCAAAUCGGCCUGCCUAAGGGCUGGCUUUGCGAAGCUAAUUUAGGCUGGUCUCUCCUCUUGCCUUGGGAUGAGGGAUGAGACGUUUUAAAGGAUAGUCCCUGAAUAAUCCCGUUUACCGGAGUUUUCAGGGAUGAAGCUAAAAAGGUAACCUACGCAUGUAGAGGCUUUUACGCAAGCACUUAAGGACGCGGCUUCAAUGCCGCCACCUCCACCA
rnacentral:tmRNA from 1 species